GAAUGCGGGUGCUAUACAUGCAGUCGGACGCACUGACGUCGACCGAAGCUGCUUGCAGUGGACGUUGAUUGACGUGAGUGGCGGACGGGUGAGUAACACGUGGGUAACCUACCCUUAAGUGGGGGAUAACAUUUGGAAACAGAUGCUAAUACCGCAUAACCAUUCAGACCACAUGGUCUGAAUGUAAAAGACGGCCUUUGGCUGUCACUUUUGGACGGACCCGCGGCGUAUUAGUUAGUUGGUAAGGUAACGGCUUACCAAGACAAUGAUACGUAGCCGACCUGAGAGGGUAAUCGGCCACAUUGGGACUGAGACACGGCCCAAACUCCUACGGGAGGCAGCAGUAGGGAAUCUUCCACAAUGGACGAAAGUCUGAUGGAGCAACGCCGCGUGAGUGAAGAAGGUUUUAGGAUCGUAAAACUCUGUUGUUGGAGAAGAACAGGGACUAGAGUAACUGUUAGUCCUUUGACGGUAUCCAACCAGAAAGCCACGGCUAACUACGUGCCAGCAGCCGCGGUAAUACGUAGGUGGCAAGCGUUGUCCGGAUUUAUUGGGCGUAAAGCGAGCGCAGGCGGUUUUUUAAGUCUGAUGUGAAAGCCUUCGGCUUAACCGAAGAAGUGCAUUAGAAACUGGAAAACUUGAGUGCAGAAGAGGACAGUGGAACUCCAUGUGUAGCGGUGAAAUGCGUAGAUAUAUGGAAGAACACCAGUGGCGAAGGCGGCUGUCUGGUCUGUAACUGACGCUGAGGCUCGAAAGUAUGGGGAGCGAACAGGAUUAGAUACCCUGGUAGUCCAUACCGUAAACGAUGAAUGCUAAGUGUUGGAGGGUUUCCGCCCUUCAGUGCUGCAGCUAACGCAUUAAGCAUUCCGCCUGGGGAGUACGACCGCAAGGUUGAAACUCAAAGGAAUUGACGGGGGCCCGCACAAGCGGUGGAGCAUGUGGUUUAAUUCGAAGCAACGCGAAGAACCUUACCAGGUCUUGACAUCCUUUGACCACUGUAGAGAUACAGCUUUCCCUUCGGGGACAAAGUGACAGGUGGUGCAUGGUUGUCGUCAGCUCGUGUCGUGAGAUGUUGGGUUAAGUCCCGCAACGAGCGCAACCCUUAUGACUAGUUGCCAGCAUUUAGUUGGGGCACUCUAGUAAGACUGCCCGGUGACAAACCGGAGGAAGGUGGGGAUGACGUCAAAUCAGCAUGCCCCUUAUGACCUGGGCUACACACGUGCUACAAUGGUCGGUACAACGAGUUGCGAACCCGCGAGGGUAAGCUAAUCUCUUAAAGCCGAUCUCAGUUCGGAUUGUAGGCUGCAACUCGCCUACAUGAAGCCGGAAUCGCUAGUAAUCGCGGAUCAGCACGCCGCGGUGAAUACGUUCCCGGGCCUUGUACACACCGCCCGUCACACCAUGAGAGUUUGUAACACCCGAAGUCGGUGGGGUAACCCUUUUAGGGAACUAGCCGCCUAAGGUGGGACAGAUGAUGGGGUGAAGUCGUAAACAAGGAGGCGU
rnacentral:rRNA from 1 species